GAUGAACGCUGGCGGCGUGCCUAAUACAUGCAAGUCGAGCGAACAGAUGAGGAGCUUGCUCCUCUGACGUUGGCGGCGGACGGGUGAGUAACACGUGGAUAACCUACCUAUAAGACUGGGAUAACUUCGGGAAACCGGAGCUAAUACCGGAUAAUAUAUUGAACCGCAUGGUUCAAUAGUGAAAGACGGUUUUGCUGUCACUUAUAGAUGGAUCCGCGCCGCAUUAGCUAGUUGGUAAGGUAACGGCUUACCAAGGCAACGAUGUGUAGCCGACCUGAGAGGGUGAUCGGCCACACUGGAACUGAGACACGGUCCAGACUCCUACGGGAGGCAGCAGUAGGGAAUCUUCCGCAAUGGGCGAAAGCCUGACGGAGCAACGCCGCGUGAGUGAUGAAGGUCUUCGGAUCGUAAAACUCUGUUAUUAGGGAAGAACAAAUGUGUAAGUAACUAUGCACGUCUUGACGGUACCUAAUCAGAAAGCCACGGCUAACUACGUG
rnacentral:rRNA from 1 species